AUGUUUGGCCUUUCUUUGACACAAAAAGGGGGUUGCAAUCGGCUUAUUAUCAAUUCUGACAAUAUGGAAGUAAUUGACACAAUGAAGAAUGAAGGAUACUCUGCAGGAGCGGCGGCUGUAAUUUUUGAGAAUUGUUUUUUUAUGGCUUGUGAUUUUCCUAUUUGUAGUUUCAAGCAUUGUAAUAGAGAAGCGAACAAAGUAGCUCAUGAACUAGCUAGAUUAGCAAAAUAUUCCAGUACGUUGAAGUGGAUGGAGGAACCCAAUGAAAGUAUUGUACCGCUUCUUAUAGACGAUGUAACUAUUAUUUCUACUUAA
rnacentral:rRNA from 1 species